GAUGAACGCUGGCGGCGUGCCUAAUACAUGCAAGUCGAGCGAACAGACGAGGAGCUUGCUCCUCUGACGUUAGCGGCGGACGGGUGAGUAACACGUGGAUAACCUACCUAUAAGACUGGGAUAACUUCGGGAAACCGGAGCUAAUACCGGAUAAUAUAUUGAACCGCAUGGUUCAAUAGUGAAAGACGGUUUUGCUGUCACUUAUAGAUGGAUCCGCGCCGCAUUAGCUAGUUGGUACGGUAACGGCUUACCAAGGCAACGAUGCGUAGCCGACCUGAGAGGGGGAUAGGCCACACUGGAACGGAGACACGGUCCAGACUCCUACGGGAGGCAGCAGUAGGGAAUCGUCCGCAAUGGGCGAAAGCCUGACGGAGCAACGCCGCGUGAGUGAUGAAGGUCUUCGGAUCGUAAAACUCUGUUAUUAGGGAAGAACAAAUGUGUAAGUAACUAUGCACGUCUUGACGGUACCUAAUCAGAAAGCCACGGCUAACUACGUG
rnacentral:rRNA from 1 species